rnacentral:rRNA from 1 species
UACGUAGGAGGCAAGCGUUGUCCGGAGUUACUGGGCGUAAAGGGCCCGCAGGCGGUGGAGUAAGUUUGGAGUGACAGUUCCCAGCUUAACCGGGAAAGGACUUCGAAAACUGCUCGACUUGAGGACUGGAGAGGAAGGCGGAAUUCCGGGUGGGAGCGGUGAAAUGCGUAGAGAUCCGGAGGAACACCGACGGCGAAGGCAGCCUUCUGGAAAGUCCUG